rfam:Gossypium arboreum cultivar AKA8401 contig_26172_3, whole genome shotgun sequence.
GAAAACCGUAUUCGAUGAAAGUCGUAUGUACGGCUUGGAGGGAGAUCUUUCAUAUCUUUCGAGAUCUUUUGCAAGUGCGUGACAUUCAAGAUUAAUGAUUAUUAUUGAAAGUUGUAACUUACUUGGAGAUUUUAU